AAUGUAAUGGAGCAAUUAGUUUAGUUUAGUUUAGUAUUAACCAGCCAAUAUGGAAAAACUUCAGUUAAGCAGACAAUGUCCUACUAUUCAUUCCUAGCAAUAGCAAUUGUGGGUUAAAUGAACAUUUAUAUAUAAAUCAUCACAAUAGAGCCAAAAUCUCAAGGUUGCUUGCAAAUUAACAGAGUUUUUUUGGGGGGAUUAAUAAAGAAAACAUUCAUAAUGUGAUGCCUAUAUAUCAAAAGAGCCACAUAUAAGUACUAAACACUGAGACAAACCAAAGAAAGAACAAAACAACAACUAAAUGGUGAAAGAGGGCCUGCUGGGUCGGUGUGUUCUAAAUCUUCCAGCAAUGCAACUUAGCCAUUGCAGCGCAGCGGCUACCUCAAGCAUACAAUAACUCUUGCUGCCCCCCCACCCCCCCACCCCUUUGUUGUCAUUUCUUUUGUCUUAUUGAAUAGCUAGUAUUAUUUGUGUUGAUUUAUGGAUUUCUUUUGGAUUGCUUUCUUUCAAAUCAUUAAUAUAUACAAAAUAAUAGAGGAAUAAUACAAUGAAAUCUCAUUAACAAUUAUUUGGUGUAAUACUUUGUAUCGAUGUUAGUUUGAGUAGGUUUGCAUUCAGGAUCCAGGACUGGAUUUUGUUUUGUUUUCAGGUUAUCCUCCAAUACCUUUUUCACAGCAUCAACCCAGGUGAAUUGUUGGUAAUCCCUGAUCAGCUAGAUGGUAUUAUAGUAUUAACAGUGACAAACAGGUUUGAGAGCCCAGUGGUAGAUUAUCAAGUCCUGCAGCUCUUCUCUGGGGUGAAAUAAUGGUGUUUGUGGAUUAAUGCAAUGUAUUACAAUCAGGUCUCGAGACAAUAUAAUCACAGUUCUUUAACGGAGAAACGAAAAUCCGAUAGCCUGGCCUAGUUUUUGGUAAAAAAAAAAAAAAUUGCUGGGGUGGGGAGGUGGGGGUGGCAGGGAUGGGGUUUUUUUGUAUUGUACACAUCAUUCUUGGGCUAAUUUCUUACCAUUCUUU
ensembl:lncRNA